AGGUUGGGAAUGAGAAGCCUAGAGGCAAAUGGGAGCUUGUUGGAGGCAGGUGUGGCAGAGGAGAUUGGGUUUGGGACAGGGUGGCUGGGGUGAGGAUACCCGGCUGAGUGGAGCUGCCUCACUGGCUCGAUGCAGCUUAACUACAGAUUACAGCUGGAGGAAUUCUAAACAGUCCACCUCUCCUUGUCAUGGUGUUUAAGUGCAUUGUGCUCCUGCCUGAACAGAGGAAAUCACUGAGCUCUCCAGGUGCUGGAUGCCUAGAAGAAAUCUCCUCUUAGGUCCUGAGAGGUAGAAGCUCACUUGUGCACCAAAGAACAAUAGAUAAUAAUCCUUCCAAACCCUCUAUUUCAGAUGUUAAAUAUUUGCUUUUAGCUCAAUUUUGUCCAUACUUUGAGACUACUAAUAUAACACCUUGCUUUUCACAA